AAAGAAACCAACCGGGAUUGCCUCAGUAACGGCGAGUGAAGCGGCAACAGCUCAAAUUUGAAAUCUGGCUCCUUCGGGGUCCGAGUUGUAAUUUGUAGAAGAUGCUUUGGGUGCGGCCCUGGUCUAAGUUCCUUGGAACAGGACGUCAUAGAGGGUGAGAAUCCCGUACGUGGCUGGUGGCCUGCGCCCGUGUAAAGCUCUUUCGACGAGUCGAGUUGUUUGGGAAUGCAGCUCUAAAUGGGUGGUAAAUUUCAUCUAAAGCUAAAUAUUGGCCAGAGACCGAUAGCGCACAAGUAGAGUGAUCGAAAGAUGAAAAGCACUUUGGAAAGAGAGUUAAACAGUACGUGAAAUUGUUGAAAGGGAAGCGCUUGCAACCAGACUUGCGCGUCGUCGAUCAUCUGGUGUUCUCACCGGUGCGCUCGGCGACGUUCAGGCCAGCAUCAGUUCUGGUGGUUGGAUAAAGGCCCUGGGAAUGUGGCUCUCUUCGGGGAGUGUUAUAGCCCAGGGUGCAAUGCAGCCUACCAGGACUGAGGACCGCGCUUCGGCUAGGAUGCUGGCGUAAUGGUUGUAAGCGACCCGUCUUGAAACACGGACCAAGGAGUCUAACAUCUAUGCGAGUGUUUGGGUGUCAAACCCAUGCGCGUAAUGAAAGUGAACGGAGGUGAGAGCCCUGAAGGGUGCAUCAUCGACCGAUCCUGAUGUCUUCGGAUGGAUUUGAGUAAGAGCAUAGCUGUUGGGACCCGAAAGGUGCGUUAUUAUUUCCAUUGCUCUUGUUUAGUUGCGAACUAUGCUAACUGAUUUUCUACAGAUGGUGAACUAUACUUGAAUAGGGUGAAGCCAGAGGAAACUCUGGUGGAGGCUCGCAGCGGUUCUGACGUGCAAAUCGAUCGUCAAAU
rnacentral:rRNA from 1 species